rnacentral:tRNA from 1 species
GCCCAAGUGGUGAAAUGGUAGACACGCUAGACUCAAAAUCUGGUAGAGGAAACUCUGUGUCGGUUCGAGUCCGACCUUGGGUACCA